UAGUGAAGCAUGAUAGUUAUUCGUAUCAAAGGGGCUGAGAAACUGAGAUAUAAGCCUUUUUGUUGUUGUUAACUUUACAUAGCAUUAGAAUAACAUCUCUGCCAGCUGGCAGGUUUAAAUGUCUAGGUACAGAUUUCUGCCAUCUACAUUUCAUAAUGUAAUUUAAGCUAUCUUAGAUUUAGGAAAAAAAAAAAAAAAACAGUCCUUUUUAAGAAGUCUAAUGCUAGCUUAGCAAAAAAUUAGAGUUUCAGAAAUGAGUAGUGACUUCAGGCAAGCGCAAAGGGGAACCUGCAGAAGAACCAAACCUGCAGAAGAACUUUGUGCUCAGAAGAGCUUUUUGCCCUGAGAAGACCUGGGGGUUCUGUCACUGCUGUGCUUUAGAAACAGCUCUCUUUGAUCUCCACCUCUGUUUGUUGUGUUAUUAUUUUUGAUCUCUUAUCAAAGUGUGUGAUUGUAUGAAAGAGUGGGUAUUCCCGCUGGCUUCGUUCGAAGAGUUGACUUUUCCUCUACCUCCACACUGGUUUGCUCUCACGCAUGAGGAGACACGUUCAGCCUCUCCAUUUUUGUGUCUCCAUUUCCAGUGAAUUCUCACCCUGUGGGAAGUCUAAGGGGGAGAGAGUUGGUCAGAGUGGAAAAUUAAGGUGACAUUAUAAAGCUUCGUGAGAUGCAUCAGUGACAGUCACAUCUCAAAGCUCCAUGUGAACUGGCAGCCUCUGAAGGGUGGGGAGUACAUGGAGGUCUGACUGGCGGAUAAAUCAUGAAGAGAAAAAUAAAACUUUUCCCAGAGGGAGAGCUGCCACACACACUUACACAAAAGGUUGUUUGUUUGCUCCCUGCAGUAUUUUUUUUUUCUUACAAAAACUGUUUGUUUUUCAACUUAUUUAUUUUUAAAGCAAGAAAUAUUGUUUGGAUUACUAACACAUACCUGAUGCAAAAGGACAGAAAGACGUGCUUUAAAUAUGCCGUGUUAUCACUUCCUCUAGCUACUCAUUUCCUUUUCCCCGUAUGUAAUUCUAAUAUCCCCUGAGUCUAGUACUGAGGCAUUAGCCUAACUGCUGUGCAGUUAACAAAAUUGUGACUUGGGGAAGUACUGAUACACAGAGAGAUGUUCCCUCUCCCCUAAAUUCCUGCAUCUGCUGCUAUGGCCAUGGUAAGGAAACCAUUUGGAA